rnacentral:lncRNA from 1 species
CGUCCUUCAAGGCAAUUAGAACAAGUGCAUUUCUUGUGAAAAGAUGCUCCAGACCAAAAAGAGAGUUAAUGGCAUAAAAGUGUGCUGCCAAAAGCCAUUCCAGGGGGUGCAGUUGCUGCAGGUGGCGCAGUUGCUGCAGGUGGCUACAUCAGGGAGCAUGAUACUUGCUCUCAGCAUCAAGGAGAACAGCUGUCUGAGGCUGCAACGGUGUUGAUCAAUACAGCUUCCAGGUUUGCACAGGUAUGGAGAGAAGGAGCCUCUUUUCAUAGAUGACCAGAUUAAAUCUGCUAAUGUUUUCUUAAUCCUGAUUCUGCAGCCAGGCAGCGAGAGGGCUGGGCUGUUCCUGAUCCCAUGCUCUCAGCUCUAACUGACAGGUCUCCGUGGUCGAAUUAUUUCCUCUCUCUAGGUUGUUUUCCUAAAAGAAAGGAAUUGGAUGCCGCAAUGCCUAAGGUCCUUUCUCGUCUACAUGUAUAUGAUUCCAAGUGAAUAGUUAUCAUAGGCUGAAUAAAUGGGCCCUAAGCAGAAAGGCAAACGUUUACCUGAGAUUUAUCUACAGGGAUUUUAAUGCUGUAUGGAGUGAAGCCCUUGGGGACAGGCCAGGGGACUGUCUCGUUUCUGUGAUUGACGGUAACGGAGGAAUCAAUGGUCCUCUGAGGCCAGUAGGGCGCCUCUGUGGGAGGGCCAGGUGGGCUCCGCUGCGUUCUAAGGAAGCCCCGAAUGGCACGGUCUGCUGCUCACAAAGCAAAGGCCUUUGACGAAUCAGUGUCUCCCAGGAGGUGGAGAGGAGCAACUUCAGGUGGCGGAGGGAUGGAGGGCGUUUCGAGCAACCUCCUAAGGAAAUGCACUCAUGGCGAUGGGCUCUCUGCUGAGACCGACAGGCCCUCGGUACCCCCAGGAGAUCCUAACACCUCUCCAGCCCUUGGUGUGCUAAAGAGUGACAAGUGGGCACAGUGAGAAAAAAAAGAAUAUUCAGCAACCUGUACUCCUCCAUUAAACAAGUGGUCCCCAUACGUGGCUAGUCAUUAAAAUACCCCAGGAAGCUUCUGAAACAUCAGAUUUCCAGGCCCAGCUCAUAGAAUUUCUGGAGGGAAGGCCCAGGAAUCUGCUUGUUUUAAGGAUGCCCCCCACCCCAAUUACUCCUGGUGAUGAACAGUGGGUACCUCUGCCCCAGACCCUCGUCUUCAAGUGGAAGCAUCUCAUCAUAGACGCACCUGGCACUUUUAUCCACACUCAGCAGAACAAGAGAAGUGGGAACACCAGGUUUUGUCUGUUUGCCUGUUUGUUUUGGAAGAAAGAGGAAAGGGGGGUUCCCCCUGUGGCUCAGCAGUCACAAACCCAACUAGUACCCAUGAGGAUGAGGAUUCAAUCUCCAGCAUCACUCAGUGGGUUAAGGACCUGACAUUGCCCUGAGCUGUGCUGUAGGUCACAGACACGGCUAGACUCCCACGUGGCCAUGGCUGUGGUAUAGGCUGGUAGCUCCAGCUCCGAUUCAACCCCUAGCCUGGGGAAAUUCCACAUGCCGCACAUGCAGCCCUAAGAAGAAAAGAAAAAAAGACAAAAACAGAGAGGGAAGUAGAGGUAAAAGGCAAACAGGGCAAGGGGUUCACAUCUUGCUCAAGAACACUCCCCUUUUAGGAGGAGAGGGAACUCGGGAUCCAGCCCCUACCCACCCCACCCCCCGGAUGACCCAGCCCUUCUCCAGCUCCUUCCUGAAUCCCCCAGCAUCUACCCUGCCAGUCUCGCAACACAGGUCCUCAGCAUCGACAAGUUGAGAGAAAGAACCUGAAGAAGUGAGAGGGUGCAUCUAGAAAUGGCCAUGUGCGUUUGCUGCUGUGCGCCAUCUUGCCUUACGUCCCCCGACGAUUGCAUCAGGACAACAUUUUCACACAACUCCUAGGCAAGGCUAUAUUCCUUAGCCCCUCCGUGGGUUCUGCACCACUAAGUUCUAAGGAUUAGAACCCACUCCCUCUGGUAUUUACAAGCUUCCGCCUCCAAAUCAAUGCUGAUUGUCCCUCCAAACGUUUGCACUCCGUCUGCCUACACUGGUUCUUGAUGAGCCCGUCCGUGGUCCUAAGACUUCUUUCAUCCGCUCAUUCACUCCUUCCUUCCCUCUCUCCCUCCCUCACUCUUCCAUCUCCUCAUGCCUGUUACUGGACAGAAAUUUAACAAAAUCCUGGAGAUACGAAAAUAAAAGCUGUUUUGCCAUCUCUUAAGAAUGCUACAACUAAGCUAAACAGAAAAAAGAAACAAUGUUUUCAUAUUUUAAAGUUUCCUUGACUUAUAGUUGAUUUACAGUGUGAUCAUUUCUUCUGUACAGCAAAGUAAUUCAGUUAUACCUGGACAUGUAUCCAUUCUUUCUCAGAUUAAAAUAUUUUUUUAAAAAGAUAGCUUAAGAGACCUCUGCAACAGCAUCAAGCUUACUAAGAGUCGCAUUAUAGGGAUCCCAUGGGGCGGAGAGAGACAAAGGGGCAGAGAACUAAUUUGAAUAAAUUUUAGGUGAAAACUUUCCUAACCUGGGAAAGGAAAUAUUCAACCAGGUCCAGGAAGCAGAGAGAGUCCCCAGCAAGAUAAAACCAAAAGGUUUCAUGCUGACGCUUUAUAAGUGAAAGGGUAAAAGUUAAAGAUGAAGAGAGGAUCUUAAAGCAGCCAGAGAAAACAACGAGCUGCUUACAUGACACCUCCCAUUACACUCUCCGUUUUCAGACCACACUUUGCAGGCCAGAAGGGAGUGGCGUGAUAUAUUCACGUGCUGGAAGGAAGCAGUCUACGGUUGAGGGUACUCUGCCCAGCAAGGCUAUCCUUCAGAUUUUAGGGCGUUUCAUAGGCAAGCAGAAGCUAGAGGCUUCAGCACCACUAAACCAGCUUUACAGGAAAUGUUAAAGGGAUUUUUCUAAGCAAAAAAGGAAAGACCACAACUAGAAAUGUGAACAUUACAAGAGGGGAAGUCUCAUUAGUUAAGGCAAACAACAGUCAAGAUAGUAGAUAAACCACUUGUAAAGCUAAUAGGAAGGUUAAAAGACAGAAGCAGUACAAUUAAGGAAUCCACAAAACAAAAAGCUGUAAACUACGGUGUCGAAAACAUUAGCUGUGGGAGAGGAGGGAAAAUGCAGGAGAGCCAAAUGCAUUUAAACUUAAGAGAUAAAUGAUUUAAUCAUUGAUGGUUAUAUAAUGAUAGAGGAUAGAUAGAUAGAUAGAUAGAUAGAUAGAUAGAUAGAUAGAUAGAUAGAUAGAUAGAUAGACAGAUACCAUAUGUACGUCGUGGUAAUCAAAAAGAUAUAAUAGAUAUCCAAAAAAAGGAAAAAUUCAAAUAUAACACUAAAGACAGUCAUCAAAUCACAAGGAAAGAGCAAAAGAAGGGAAAAAGAGCUAUAAGAACAAGGAAAAAGCAACAGCAAGGCGAUGAGUACAAGCGUAUCAAUAAUUACUUUCAGGAGUUCCCGAAGUGACGCAGUGGUUAACAGAUCCGACUAGGAACCAUGAGGUUGCGGGUUCGGUCCCUGCCCUUGAUCAGUGGGUUAACAAUCCGGCGUUGCCGUGAGCUGUGGUGUAGGUCGCAGAUGCGGCUCGGAUCCGGCAUUGCUGUGGCUCUGGCAUAGGCUGGUGGCUACAGCUCCGAUUAGACCCCUGGCCUGGGAACCUCCAUAUGCCGCGGGAACAGCCCAAGAAAUAGCAAAAAAGACAAAAAAAAAAAAAA